GACGAACGCUGGCGGCGUGCUUAACACAUGCAAGUCGAACGGAAAGGCCCUGCUUUUGUGGGGUGCUCGAGUGGCGAACGGGUGAGUAACCCGUGAGUAACCUGCCCUUGACUUUGGGAUAACUUCAGGAAACUGGGGCUAAUACCGGAUAUGCGCUCCUGCUGCAUGGUGGGGGUUGGAAAGUUUCGGCGGUUGGGGAUGGACUCGCGGCUUAUCAGCUUGUUGGUGGGGUAGUGGCUUACCAAGGGUUUGACGGGUAGCCGGCCUGAGAGGGUGACCGGCCACACUGGGACUGGGAUACGGCCCGGACUACUACGGGAGGCAGCAGUGGGGAAUAUUGCACAAUGGGCGGAAGCCUGAUGCAGCAACGCCGCGUGCGGGAUGACGGCCUUCGGGUUGUAAACCGAUUUCGCCUGUGACGAAGCGUGAGUGACGGUAAUGGGUAAAGAAGCACCGGCUAACUACGUG
rnacentral:rRNA from 1 species